UACAGAGGUCCCAAGCGUUGUUCGGAUUCACUGGGCGUAAAGGGUGCGUAGGUGGUCGGGUAAGUCUGAUGUGAAAUCUCCGAGCUCAACUCGGAAAUGGCAUUGGAUACUAUUCGGCUAGAGGGUUUGAGGGGGGACUGGAAUACUUGGUGUAGCAGUGAAAUGCGUAGAUAUCAAGUGGAACACCAGUGGCGAAGGCGGUCAGCUGGUCCGUUACUGACACUAAAGCACGAAAGCGUGGGUAGCAAACAGG
rnacentral:rRNA from 1 species